GUCAUGUGACCUAUGUUGUCAAUAAACUGUACAGAAAGAUACAGGUGUGUAGUAUUCUCAUAGUCAGUCAGUGUCAUGUGACCUAUGUUGUCAAUAAACUGUACAGAAAGAUACAGGCGUGUAGUAUUCUCAUAGUCAGUCAGUGUCAUAUGACCUAUGUUGUCAAUAAACUGUACAGAAAGAUACAGUGUAGUAUUAUCAUAGUCAGUCAGUGUCAUGUGACCUAUGUUGUCAAUAAACGUACAGAAAGAUACAGGCGUGUAGUAUUCUCAUAGUCAGUCAGUGUCAUAUGACCUAUGUUGUCAAUAAACUGUACAGAAAGAUACAGGCGUGUAGUAUUAUCAUAGUCAGUCAGUGUCAUGUGACCUAUGUUGUCAAUAAACUGUACAUAAAGAUACAGGUGUGUAGUAUUCUCAGAGUCAGUCAGUGUCAUGUGACCUAUGUCAUGUGACCUAUGUUGUCUAUAAACUGUACAUAAAGAUACAGGUGUGUAGUUUUGUAAGAAGGAGAAUAGGAAAAAAUCAAUAUCAUUACAGUGAGAAGAAUUUCAAUAUACAAAAUUCCAGGGAACAAAAAAAGAGAUGUAAGAUAUCACAGGAUAUAUUCACAACUCUUUUACAAUGUAUGUUGAAGAGAAACUGACAACGCCAUGGCAAAAAAUGAAGAACAAAAACAAUUCAAACAACAAUCUUCAAAGUAUUACAUAAAAAAACUAAAGAUCAAGCAAUACAAACC
rnacentral:lncRNA from 1 species